AUGAUUAUUAUUUUAGCAUUAUCGUUUAUGUUACUUUGCCAUGUUUUAUCCUUUUUCUGUCUACAAGAAGUCUGGUAUAUUUGAUGUGGGCAUUUGAACUAUUUUAGACUAUUUUCUAGCUUAGCUUAAAUUAGCUUAUGCUUGGAAGAGUUUGUCUAUUCCUGUCAGUGGUUCAUAGUUAUCUAUCAAUUCAUUAUUUAAUUCUAGCCUAUGAUGGAAGUUCAUCAACAUAUCGGCAAAUGUUGUCUCAACGUAAAAAUUCAUUUGUUUGGCGAGAUCUCUUUUUUGAAACCAAAAGCAUGUGGACCUUUCUUGACUAUGUAAGGCUUUAUUGUUAUUUUCAUUUAUUAGACCUGGUCCUUGUAUUGAUUUUGAUUACUGGAACUCGAGUAUGAUGUUCUGCACCUGGGUUAUCUUGCUUUUGCUCUUGUUUUUUCGGAUGAGGCUUGAAAUUCUCAUGAAAAAGAAUAAAACAUUCAAGUUCUUGCGUAUCUACAACUUUGUAGUGAUCGUGCAUUUUUUCGCCUAUCAGUCACCUUUCGUGGGGGAGUUUAGUUCUAGGAAGUUCAAGACUGUGAGCUACACAUAUGAAGUCAUUGGAUUUUACAAAGCAAAUUGGUGCCAUUGUACAUGAACAAGAGAAGAAAGCUACUUGGAAAACUGCACAAUUACAACAAAUUUGUGACAAAGAGAAAAGCUCUCUUUGGAAGCAAGAACAAGUUAAUAAACAAGAUUCAGCUUUCGCUUUUGAAACACAUGCAUAUGCUGCUUAUAUGAAAGGAGAAAGUCCCGAAGUUAUGCCAUCUCCAAAUAAUUUAGUGGAAUAAGCACCUUUUAGAUUCAGAGAAAAGUAGGAAAAACCAAGGAAAGAAACAUCCUUUGAUUUCUGCAGUCUCUUCAGUGAUGGUGUUUCCCAGGUACAGUAUAUUGGAAAUCAGGCAGUUAAUAACCUUGUAAUUUUCUUAAACAUUGCACUAGAAAAUUCCGAUCUGAAUGAGCAUUCAUCUAAUAAAA